AGAGGUCUGUCGCAUGCAGCCAGGGGACCGCGUCCCCAGUCGCCUUCCUCAAACCACUUCUCUUUCCUCUUCAAAUAUUCAAGGCGUUCGGCCUAGAUAACCAGAGCAUUUGCCUAUUUACACCUCCACCUGGUACCCUGGAGCUGAUAUUUCUGUUUCCUGAAUGUUGGAACCGAAAGAGAAGCGGAGCUGGAUUUAGGUUGAGAAAUAUUCAACACAAAUCCAAAGGACGAAAAGUAAAAGAAGACCUCUAGGAUUUCUUCUCUAAGGUCACCCAUGGGGAAACGGAGUAAAAGAAAAGAAGUUAAUCAUUAAAAGUGUUCAGGAGAGAAAACGAACACUUCCCUGACCGGGAAUCGAACCCGGGCCGCGGCGGUGAGAGCGCCGAAUCCUAACCACUAGAC